ACUUGUUCCCACAGUAGCAUUCCUGACUAAACAAUUCGAUCAGCUGGUUCCCACAUUAUCAUGCGUGAUCAUAUUCCGAGAAAAUAGCUCCCAAUUUGGCACGCAUCUGCGUUAACGUCCGUGAGUUCUGCCUGCCUGACUAAACAAAUUCGAUCACCUAUACUGUUCAAAUAACAGACUCUUGCUCCUGAAUUCCAGAAUAUUGCUUC
rnacentral:lncRNA from 1 species